CCUGGGUCGCCCACGCCAGGUCCCCCUUAGGUCUCCCCUCGGCCUGGCGGCGGCGGUCCCCUCGAGCCGAGACGGGCCGGGGCCGCGCCCCGCCCGGCCGGACCCAGCGCGCUGCCAUCGCGCACUCGGGCCGGGAGCGCCCGCCGCCGGCCGGCCGGUCCCCGGGCGCUCGGGGCCUUCCGCCCCCCGAGGCGUGAGAAAGGGAAGGACCCAUGGCCAUGCCUCGGGCCCUGCGACCCCUUCGCGGCCAGACGAGACGGCGGCCGCCUGCUCGGGCGCCGGGCUGCAGGAAGGGAAGUCAGGUCCCCAGUGCUGGGAGCCAGAGGGGUGCACAUCGACCUACCCAAGACACUUGCCAGGGCUGCGGCUGUAAUUCGCAACGGGACUUCCUUGAUAUGUCAGGCGAUGCUGAUCUGUCCAUGAUGUUCCUUAAUCUAAAGUCACACUCGUCGGAAGAGCCUGUGGCCCUCACGACUACGAAGUGCGCUCUCUCAGCCUUACUCUUCUACAGAAAUGACUGGACGGUUCCUCAUAACCGCGUGCUUUUCCUUCAGAGGAGCCACCACCCCACAUCCCCAAAUUAAGGAAAAACAAAGUCGGUGCAUCCGGAUAAGGAGCUAACCAUAUAAUUAUGAGAAACUCACGGGUUUUAAGAACUGAGUUACAAAAUGGGGCAUUGAAGAGAGGAGGGAACUCAAGAUGGGGAGGGCGGGUAUUUUCAAACGUUUCUUUUUAAACCCAAGGCACUGCAAGGACAAGGGUAGAAAACUAGACGGCAAGGGGUUUGUCUCUGAAAUCGAGAAGGCAAAAAGGCGUCGUAGAUGCUGCACAAAGUAGAGAGAGCUAGAUAAAGAAGGGUUGUGGGGCGUCCUUGUAAAACCCCAGCAGGAACCCAACGUCUAAAACCUCUGGCCGGCAACGCGGACUUAAACUCGGAACGCAAUUUCGGCAAGCGCAGUUUUCCCGCCGGAGCUCGGGUCUGAGCAGUCUUCCUCCUGCGCAGGCGCGGUACCACUUACGGAGCAUGGAAGCGGUGGCUUUUCUGUGCUUAGCAGCGGCGGUCCUAGGAUGGGGCUUCCUCUGGGUUUGGGACUCUUGGGAACGCAUGAAGGGUCAGAAGCCGGCUGGCUUGCCGGGAGAUGGAAACAGGACCCUCCUGGUGAUCGCGCACCCCGACGAUGAAGCCAUGUUCUUUGCUCCCACUGUGCUAGGCUUGGCCCGCCUGAGGCACCGGCUGUCUUUGCUCUGCUUCUCUGCAGGAAAUUACUACAAUCAAGGGGAGAUUCGUAAGAAAGAACUUUUGCAGAGCUGUGAUGUUUUGGGGAUUCCACCCUCCAGUAUAAUGAUUAUUGACAACAGGGAUUUCCCAGAUGACCCAGGUGUGCAGUGGGACACAGAGCAUGUGGCUAGCACCCUCCUCCAGCACAUAGAAGUGAACAGCAUCAACCUGGUGGUGACUUUCGACGCAGGGGGAGUGAGUGGUCACAGCAACCACGUUGCUUUAUAUGCGGCCGUGAGGACCCUGCAUUCAGAAGGGAAGUUACCUAAAGGGUGUUCCGUGCUCACACUUCAGUCAGUGAAUGUGUUACGCAAGUAUAUCUCCCUCCUGGACCUGCCCUUUACUCUGCUUCAGACCCGGGAUGUCCUCUUCGUGCUCACCAGCAAAGAAGUGGCACAGGCCAAGAAAGCCAUGUCCUGCCACCGCAGCCAGCUGCUCUGGUUCCGCCGCCUCUACGUGCUCUUCUCCAGGUACAUGAGAAUCAACUCUCUGCACUUCCUCUGAAGCCUUGAAGAGCUUUCCGGUCCACAGAAGAAAGGGAGAAGAACGAGCCCAGGAAGCCUGGCGCCUGGCCGUGAGCUGGCUCGCCUCCCCGGGGCCGAGGCAGACAGAGCUCUGCUCAUCCAUGCCAAAUUGACAAGCUGAUCUUCAAAUUCAUACAGAAGUGCAAGAGACUCAGAAGCCAAAAACAGCCUUAAAGGACAAAGCUGGAAGAUUCACACAUCCCAAUUUCAAAAAUUACUGCCAAGACCUAAAUGCAAGAGCCAAAAUUAUGUGACUCUUAGAAGGAAACACAGAUUAAGUCUUUGUGACCUCGGAUCAGAUAACAGUUUUUUUUUUUAAUUAAAAUUUUUUUAUGUUUAUUAUUUUCAGAGAGACAGAGCAUGAGUGGGGGAGGGACAGAGAGAGGGAGACACAGAAUCCAAAGCAGGCUCCAGGCUCUGAGCUGUCAGCACAGAGCCUGACGCAGGGGUCAAACCCACAGACCACAAGAUCAUGACCUGAGCGGAAGUCAGACGCUUAACCCACUGAGCCACCCAGGCAUCCCAGUGGUUUCUGAAAUAUGAAACCAAAAGCACAAGCAAAACAAAAAACAGAAAACUUUAUGCUUCAAAGGACAUUACCAAGAAAAUGAAAUGAGAAAAAUGUUUUGCAAAUCAUAUAUCUGAUUAGGGUCUAGUAUCCAGAAUAUAUAAAGAGCUCUUACAAUUCAACAACAAGACAACCUAAGUAAAAAACAGGCAAAAGAUUUGAAUAUACAUUUCUUCAAGAAGAUAUCCAAAUGGCCAACAAUCACAAAAACAUCAUUAGUCGUGAAGAAAAUGCAAAUAAAAAACACAAUGAGGGGCACCUGGGUGGCUCAGUUGGUUGAGUGUCUGAAUUCAGCUCAGGUCAUGAUCUCACAGUUCAUAGGUUUGAGCCUCAUGUUGGGCUUUGCACUGACAGUGCAGAGCCUACUUCAGGUUCUCUGUCUCCCUUUCUCUCUGCCCUUCCCCCACACACUCUCUCUCUCAAAAAAAAAAAAAAAAAAAGAAUCAACAUUUUAAAAAAUUUAAAAAAAAACAACCCACAAUGACAUGCUACGUCAUAUCCACCAGGAGGGCUAUGAUUAAAACAGACCAACAAACACUAAAUAACAAGUGUUGGUGAGCAUAGGGAGCUAUUGGAACUCUCUUAUUUCUGAUGGGAAUGUAAAAUGGUGUAGCUACUGUGGAAAACAGUUUCACAAUUCCUUAGUAACUUCAAGAUUUCCUAGAGGACCCAGCAAUUGCACUCCUAGGUCUAUAUCCAAGAGAACUAAAAAUAUGUUCACAUGAAAACUUGUAAACGAUUGUUUAGAGUAGCCUCAUUCAUAAAACUCAAAUGUCCCAUCAACUGAUGAAGAGAUAAACAAAAUAUGGCAUUCUGUUUAUUAUUCAGCCAUAAAAAAAAUGAAGUCCGGACACAGUGAGGAUGAACUUUGAAGCCAUUAUGCUAAGUGAAAGAAGCCAGACAAAAAAAGGCCACAUAUGGUAUGAGUCCCAUUUGUAUGAAAUGUCCAGAAUCGGCAAAUUCAUAGUGACAGGAAGUAGAUUAGUGGUUUCCAAGGCUUGGGGGUACAGGAAAGGAGUGAUUGCUAAUGCACGCGAGGUGAGGAAAUGUCUGGAAAUGAUAGUGGUGAAGGUUGGACAACCUUGUGAAUAUACUCAAACCUAGGAGUUAAAAAGAGUGAAUGUUACGGUAUAUGAAUUAUGUCGCAACUCAAGAAAUAGUGUGAAAAAGAGAUUACAGUAAAAUGUUCUAGUUCACUCUAAGGAUACAUCACUCUGUGAACCCGGUGAUACUCUGUCUGACCUGCCAGCCUAGUAAAUACAAAAUGCUAGAGUAGAAAUCUUAUUCAUAGUGGCGCCUGGGUGGCUCAGUUGGUUGAGCGUCAGACUCUUGGUUUUGGCUCAGGUCGUGAUCUCACGGUUCACGGGAUCAAGCUCCACGUCAGGCUCGGGAGCCUGCUUGGACUCUCUCUGCCCCUCCCCUGCUCUCUCUCUUUCAAAAUAAAUAAACUAAAAAAAAACAAAAUUAAAAGAAAUCAUUCAUGUUUUAACCAGA